rnacentral:rRNA from 1 species
AUGGGGUCGGGAAACGCAAUCAAGGUCCUCCAAGCGGCGGUGCUGCUUCUGGUGGUCUGUGGCGGGUCGGCGUCCGUACCGGCGACGCCCUCGGGCAACCAUCCCGCGAUUCCGGCCUCGGAUGCUGGCCAUGGUGCUGCCUUCGAGGGACAGGCAGCCGGAGUUGCGAAUCCCCAGAUCUUGGCUGUCGACUUCCAGGUGGGAGCCGACUCGUACGAGGCAUCUUUCAAGAGCUUGCACGUGGCCUUACAGGCGAACACAGUGCCCGUGGAAGGGCACUAUAUCCUACCGAAAGAAACUCCCAAGCCUGAGAUGUGGAUCAACCUGACUCUCAAAGGCGAAGCGGCAAGGCCACCUGCCCUGUUGUUGAGAUCCGAUAAUGUCUAUCUCCUCGGCUUCAUUGCCGCAGAUGGAACAGCGUUCUGCACCAAGGGCAAAAAGAAGAUCUUCCCGGUCGAUUGCACGGAGCUGCCCUUCGAGGACAACUAUGGAGGUCUCACUAACAGACGUGAGAAGGAGGAUCUUAACGGGCUACUGGAGGCGGUGAGUCUCGGGAAGUCGGAGGCCCAAGCCGCAGCAGAUGCACUCGCGCGGUUCAAGCAUGGAACGACCUCGCCUGAGGUGGCUAGGAAAUCUUUGCUCGCCUUCACACUUAUGAUACCCGAGGCGCAGCGCUUCCACUCCAUCGGCAACAAAAUGAAGACUGACUGGAUAAAAUCGAGCCACCUCACGGAGGAUCAGGUAAAGCUCAUUUUUGUGUGGCGGGUUCUCUCGGCCCUUUGGUGCCGUGGGGACAACCCCCCUGAUGGCGAAUGGAGCAAAGCCAAGGACAAGCUCAAGGCUCUCAAUAUCAAGAGCCGAGCUGACGUGUCGCGAGCCCUCGACAUGGUCAAGAACGAGGGCCGCUGCUCCGACCUCAGGAAAGAGAAGCCACCCGCAUGA